CGAUUUGGCAACACUGCAGUUAUUUGAGGAUAUUUUACAAGAUGAAGCACAAAGCGAAGAAUUUGCAAUUUCUGCCUUUAUUGGAAUUAAAUUAGAAAUUAGAAAAAUAACAAAGAUUACAAUAUGAAUAGACAAAUUUUGGGAAAUAAAG